UACGAAGGGGGCUAGCGUUGCUCGGAAUUACUGGGCGUAAAGCGCACGUAGGCGGCCAUAAUAGUCAGAUGUGAAAGGCCUGGGCUCAACCCGGGAAUUUGCAUUUGAUACUGUAUGGCUAGAGUCCAAGAGAGGGUAGUGGAAUUCCCAGUGUAGAGGUGAAAUUCGUAGAUAUUGGGAAGAACACCAGUGGCGAAGGCGGCUACCUGGCUUGGAACUGACGCUCAGGUGCGAAAAGCGUGGGGGA
rnacentral:rRNA from 1 species